GCCUUUACAGGUCUGGCAAUUGGAAUGAGAACAAUUUAAAUCCCUUAUCGAGUAUCAAUUGGAGGGCAAGCCUGGUGCCAGCAGCCGCGGUAAUUCCAGCUCCAAUAGCGUAUAUUAAAGUUGUUGCAGUUAAAAAGCUCGUAGUUGGAUUUCUGGCAGGGGUGAGCGGCCACACACUAUGUGUGUGAACUUGGAUGUCUCUGGCCAUCUUUGGGGAUAUCCUGUUUGGCAUUAAGUUGUCGGGCAGGGGAUACCCAUCGUUUACUGUGAAAAAAUUAGAGUGUUUAAAGCAGGCUUAUGCCGUUGAAUAUAUUAGCAUGGAAUAAUAAGAUAGGACUUCGGAACUAUUUUGUUGGUUUGCGUUACGAAGUAAUGAUUAAUAGGGACAGUUGGGGGUAUUCGUAUUCCGGUGUCAGAGGUGAAAUUCUUGGAUUUCCGGAAGACGAACUACUGCGAAAGCAUUUACCAAGGAUGUUUUCAUUAAUCAAGAACAAAAGUUAGGGGAUCGAA
rnacentral:rRNA from 1 species